GCCGGAGUGGUGAAAUUGGUAGACGCAGAGGACUCAAAAUCCUCCGAUGGCAACAUCGUGUCGGUUCGAUUCCGACCUCCGGCA
rnacentral:tRNA from 1 species